GACACUUAGUUUUAUGUGGUUCCUCUCCCC
rnacentral:piRNA from 1 species